UACGUAGGUGGCAAGCGUUGUCCGGAUUUACUGGGCGUAAAGAGCGUGUAGGCGGCCAAGCAGGUCCGUUGUGAAAACUGGAGGCUUAACCUCCAGACGUCGACGGAAACCGCGCGGCUAGAGUCCGGAAGAGGAGAGUGGAAUUCCUGGUGUAGCGGUGAAAUGCGCAGAUAUCAGGAAGAACACCCGUGGCGAAGGCGGGCUCUG
rnacentral:rRNA from 1 species